rnacentral:rRNA from 1 species
AUUGAACGCUGGCGGCAGGCUUAACACAUGCAAGUCGAGCGAGCGGCGGCCGGGGGAGUAAUGUCUGGGAAACUGCCUGAUGGAGGGGGAUAACUACUGGACACGGUAGCUAAUACCGCAUACCAUCAGAUGUGCCCAGAUGGGAUUAGCUAGUGGGUGGGGUAAUGGCUCACCUAGGCGACGAUCCCUUGCUGGUCUGAGAGUAUGAACAUCCACCAUGGAACUGCGACACGUUCCAGACUCCUACGGUAGGCAGCAGGGUGGAAUAUGGCACAAUGGGCGCAAGCCUGAUGCAGCCAUGCCGCGUGUGUGAAGACGGCCUUCGGGUUGUAAAGCACUUUCAGCGAGGAGGCGUUACUCGCAGAAGAAGCACCGGCUAACUCCGUGCCAGCCGCCGCGGUAAUUC